rnacentral:rRNA from 1 species
AUGGAAUGGCAAUUGAUAAGGAAGCUCUUGCCAUCAUCGAAGGACAAUACCGCUAACCGGAUCAUUGUCACUGCGCGGGAACUGAAUGUUGCAAUGUGUUGUUCGGAGAAAGAACGCAAAAUAUACAAUCUCGAGCUUCUAACUAAACAGGAUGCUCUCCGCCUAUUUGAAAAGAAGGUAUUCAAGGAUAUCGAAGAGAGGGAAAGUUAUGCUCAUAUUCCGGGCCUGGCUGAGCAAGCAAAUCUUAUAUUGAAGAAGUGUGACGGCCUCCCUCUUGCAAUAUCCACCAUAGGUAGCUUCCUGGCAACCAAACCUAAAACUGCUAUAGAGUGGAGGAAUUUGAACAAACACAUCAAUGCAGAGCUAGAGAUGAAUAAAGAGCUUGAGAUGAUACAGACAGUCCUUGCUUCAAGUUACGAAGGUUUACCUUAUUAUCUCAAGGCUUGCUUCUUGUAUUUAUCCAUUUUUCCUGAAGACCACCGCAUCAGAUGGUCUCGUUUGGUGAGGCGCUGGAUUGCAGAGGGGUAUUCGAGGCGAAUACGCGACAAGACUGCAGUUGAAACCGGGAAUAGCUACAUCACCGAGCUUAUCAAUAGGAGUAUGGUCCGACCAUUACAAGGAGAUGGGAUUGCAAGUGGGAGGAAAGGUUUCUUGGACGUCCAUGAUCUCAUCCGUGACAUUGCAAUCUCAAAGGCAACAGAGGAAAGUCUUGUUUUUACACUGGAUGAAGGAUGUGACUUAAACACCCAAGGCAAAAUCCGUCACCUUGCUGUAAGCAGCAGGUGGAAAAGAGAUAAAGAUGCAUUUGAGCGUGCACUGGACUUGUCUCACUUAAGAUCAUUAACAGUCUUUGGAAGGUUGGAGGCAUUUUUCAUUUCUGAUAAGAUGAGAUUACUCCGAGUACUGGACUUGGAAGACACAAAGGGUCUGACAGAUCAACACCUCCAUCAGAUUGGGAAGCUUGUUCACCUAACCUACCUUUCUCUGCGAGGAUGUGACGGACACUUGCGCCUGCCAGAUUCAAUGGGCAAUCUGAGGCACCUACAGACACUGGAUGUAAGAGAUGUAUGCAUAAUAAAUCUGCCAACAACAAUUAUCAAGCUUGACAAGUUACGUUAUCUCCAUGUGGGCGUUGUACCAUUGAAUGAUGACAAGUGGGGAAAAGCCCAUAAUACGGAUUAUCCGCAAGUGUAA